AUUUUUGUUGGGUUUUGAACGUAAUAAAAAAAAAAAAAAAAAAAAUCUGUUCUUAUCAGUUUAAUAUCUGAUACGUCCCCAUCGGGGGACUACAUAUUAAAUGGAUUUUUCGAACAGGGAGUCGGAAAUGGGGCUUGCUCCGUCCGCUCCACGAUCGACCCGGUAUUGCAGUACCUCCGGGAACGGUGCAACACUU
rnacentral:snRNA from 1 species